rnacentral:rRNA from 1 species
AAACGACUCUCGGCAACGGAUAUCUCGGCUCUCAUCGAUGAAGAACGUAGCGAAAUGCGAUACUUGGUGUGAAUUGCAGAAUCCCGUGAACCAUCGAGUCUUUGAACGCAAGUUGCGCCCGAAGCCAUUCGGCCGAGGGCACGUCUGCCUGGGCGUCACA